GACGAACGCUGGCGGCGUGCCUAACACAUGCAAGUCGAACGGAGAUACUUUUGAAGCUUGCGAUAAAGUAUCUUAGUGGCGGACGGGUGAGUAACGCGUGGGUAAUCUGCCCAUAAGUGGGGAACAACAGUUGGAAACGACUGCUAAUACCGCAUAAUCUGCCUUAGGGUAGGAAAGGUGGCCUCUUAACAAUGCUGCCGCUUAUGGAUGAGCCCGCAUCUGAUUAGCUAGUUGGUGGGGUAAAGGCCCACCAAGGCGACGAUCAGUAGCUGGUCUGAGAGGACGACCAGCCACACUGGAACUGAGACACGGUCCAGACUCCUACGGGAGGCAGCAGUGGGGAAUUUUGGACAAUGGGCGCAAGCCUGAUCCAGCCAUUCCGCGUGAGUGAAGAAGGCCUCGGUUGUAAGCUCUUCGCAGGAAGAAACUAAUACUCUACAUAGAUGAGGUUGACGGUACCGUUACGAGUUAAGAAGACACCGGACCGUAACUAACGUUACGCCGACG
rnacentral:rRNA from 1 species